AACGCGAAGAACCUUACCUACCCUUGACAUCCAAAAGAGAUUGCAGAGAUGCGAUUGUGCCGAAAGGAAUUUUGAGACAGGUGCUGCAUGGCUGUCGUCAGCUCGUGUUGUGAGAUGUUGGGUUAAGUCCCGUAACGAGCGCAACCCUUAUCCUUAGUUGCCAACAUGUAAUGGUGGGGACUCUAAGGAGACUGCCGGUGAUGAACCGGAGGAAGGCGGGGACGACGUCAAGUCAUCAUGGCCUUUAUGGGUAGGGCUACACACGUGCUACAAUGGACGGUACAGAGGGCAGCGAGCGUGCGAACGCAAGCCAAUCCCUAAAAGCCGUUCGUAGUCCGGAUCGGAGUCUGCAACUCGACUCCGUGAAGUCGGAAUCGCUAGUAAUCGCGAAUCAGAAUGUCGCGGUGAAUACGUUCCCGGGCCUUGUACACACCGCGCAUA
rnacentral:rRNA from 1 species